AUUGGUCUGGUGGGAGGAUGAAUUUUCUGAUACGGUCACCUAGUCGCCAUGUAACACCUGAGAAGGUUCCUCCUCCUGCUCAUGAACCUGUUAUGGACACACAGUACAUGGCAAAACCUACCAAGACUUUGGAAGGUCUUCUAACUGAGGAUCCAUUUCCCGAGUCUCCGAUUGCUGGAGUUCGCCAAGGAGGGACUGAUAAAUUUGAAGCUGAGAGUGGCAGUGAUGAUGUUAGUUCGGAUGUGGGGAGAGAUUCGUAUGUUGUUGAGGGGCACUCGGAUGUUUCUGAAGAAGAAGGAUGGAUCACCAUUCCACAUAGUACUUUGCCUCCCCUUAAUCCUGCAGUAACGAUGAUUGAUUGAUUGAAGUUUAGGAUGUUUGAUUUUUGCAUGUGAUGAGUAUAAUGUAAAAGUUGAAACUUGAAAGGUAUGCUUUCUCUGGUCCGUAAUUAUCUUGCUGUGUUUGCAGAGGAACUUCCUGAUGAUUGGACUUCUUUGCCAAAUAUAGAGUCACUACGUGCUAUGGACAGAUCAUUUGUCUUUCCUGGUAAUUAAAAUUUAACCCUGGACAAUUUGAUUGAUAUUAUGUUAGUUGGUAAAUUAAUUUGACAAGUUUACAUGAUAAUUUUUUAGGUGAACAAGUUCAUAUACUAGCCUGUGUAUCAGCAUCUAAUCAAGAUACAGAAACCAUUACUCCGUUCAAAGUCGCUGCCCUAAUGUCUAAAAGUGGCGUGGGACAAAGCCCCGAGAGACAACAUGGAAAUGGAAAGGACAGAGUACUUGACGAUGGAGAAAUGAGUUCGGGUGGUCAAGUUACGGGCCAAGAAGGGAACAACUCGGUGGAACAAAGGAGUGAUCCAAAGGAUGAUGUUUCUGCUGGUGAAUCCUUUCUUAGAAUGGAGGAUCACAAACGGCAAACUGAAACCUUGUUACAAAGAUUCAAGAACUCCCAUUUUUUUGUUCGGAUUGCAGAGUCAGAUGAGCCACUCUGGUCGAAGAAAGCUGGCCAAAACCGUCUGUUGGCUGACAUGGAUGAUCAGAUCUCCUUUGGAAGUGGAACUGGAAAGGUCAAACCUCAUCUCAAUGCUCUCAUAGAUAAAGGAAAUUUUGACGCCAAUGUUGCCGGUGGAGCUGCCAGGAACAGUGUUAACUGUUGGUCUCUUUCCAAUGGAGAUGUAGUGGUAUGUGUUUGAAUGCAUUUUGGUUCAAAGUCUAUGACUUGCGUGUGUAAAUAUUGUGCCAAGUUUUGCUGCUAUAUUUUGGAAGUUUGGUGUCUGUCGUUGAGAAUAUGAAUUGUCUGUGUUUGAUAUGUUACCGUAUGUCUUCUCUUAUAUGAUAAAAGUACAUGAAAUCUGAAAUAAUGUUUUAUGUGGACUCUGAACAUCGGUUUACUCAUACUAGUGAGAUCAACCAUUCUAACCUCAAUAUUAUGUUAGAUGCACCAUCUCAAUUGUCUGUAGUAAUUGUUUAUUUAACUGUCGUUUCUCAAUUGCCCUCUUUGUUUGGAAGGAUACAGGUGCUUCUACAAGUUAAUGUUGGCACUCAUAUUCUUAGAGAUCCUGUGAUUGAGAUUCUUCAGUUCGAGAAACAGAUCAGAAAUCUAUCUCCCCAUCAACCAGGUAGUCUGGUUUUUGCUCAUCCUGACCCAUAUGGACAACUGCUAAAAUGGUUGCUUCCGUUGGAUAAUGCUUUAUCUCCGCCACCACGUGCUUUAUCGCCACCCAAAAGAACUCCUAUCCCAGUCACUCCUCCCACAACUCAGAAGCCUGUGCCUUCCGGUUCACAGCUGUUCUCUAGUUUUAGAAGUUACUCUAUGUCUUCACUGCCGCAGAACAGUACUCCGCCUACUCAACCAAUUAAAGUCCAAAGCUCUAAACCCAAUUUUGACAUUGACGCUUUGGGAGAGUACUCAUCUCAGAAGUUGAGGAGAGAUCGUCAAAAUGGUGGUGAUGGAAUUCUCUCUUUCCGAGGUGUCUCAUUGGAGCAAGAAAGAUUUUCAGUACGGUGUGGACUCGAAGGCAUGUACAUUCCUGGAAAAAGAUGGAGGAAGAAGCUUGAAAUCAUUCAACCUGUAGAGAUUCGUUCCUUUGCUGCUGAUUGUAACACAGAUGACUUGAUUUGUGUUCAGAUAAAGGUGUGAAUCUGGAACGAGUGAUUCCUAGCACUGUAUAUAUUUGCUUUCACUUUGCUUAUACCUUAUUAACUUAUCUUGGUGUCCUGCAGAACAUUUCUCCAACACACCUUUCUGACAUAGUGGUGUACAUAGAUGCUAUAACAAUGGUUUUUAACGAGGCUCCAAAAGGUGGCCUACCUCUGUCCUUGCCAAUAGCAUGCAUUGAAGCUGGAGAUGAUCAUUGUUUACCAAAUCUUGUCCUCAGGUGCUUGCCCACUCUAGGUAUCUCUGUUUACUACUAUUGGUCUUUAAAAAGUUGUUGAUAAACUGGACGAAAAUGGAGUAAAUUUCAAUUCAGAAGUCUUUCUCGAGUCUAUAUCUGCUCACCACUUAUGAUUAUAUCGUCAAACCUGGCAGGAGAGGCGAGGAGCACUCUUUUAUCCUCAAACCAGCAUCAUCAAUGUGGAAGAGUCCCAAGGUUCACGGGAAAAGUACUUCGUUUUCAUCAGCUUUACAUUCUUCACAUCAUGCUGUUGAAAGGGGAAGUGGUAAUUCAAAUCCUGAUAUAUACGCUAUUAUGGUAUCUUGUCGCUGCAACUACACAGGUAUGCCACAUGUUAUUUCUUCGGUGUACUGAUUUGGAAUUGCUUUUCCUCAAAACGUCAAGUUAUUAGCAAAUAAUAACUUGUUUUUUGAACAUGACGCAGAGUCAAGACUGUUUUUCAAGCAGCCAACUGAUUGGCGACCACGUUUCUCAAGGGACCUUCUGAUUUCUGUCGCGCCCGAACUGUCACACUGGUCUUCUCCCUACGAGAGAGUCUCCCAUCUUCCAGUUCAGGUCUCUCCUUUCUCUUUGUUCUUAGCUAAUUCGGUGCUGUUUUCCUUCUUGAUAUGAACUCUUAACGUUUCCUGCUGUUGAAACAGGUCUUAACUCUUAGAGCCUCCAAUUUAACAGUUGAAGAUCUCAUUGUGACCCUUCGUUUUUUUGUUGUUUCAGAAUUGGUCUGGUGGGAGGAUGAAUUUUCUGAUACGGUCACCUAGUCGCCAUGUAACACCUGAGAAGGUUCCUCCUCCUGCUCAUGAACCUGUUAUGGACACACAGUACAUGGCAAAACCUACCAAGACUUUGGAAGGUCUUCUAACUGAGGAUCCAUUUCCCGAGUCUCCGAUUGCUGGAGUUCGCCAAGGAGGGACUGAUAAAUUUGAAGCUGAGAGUGGCAGUGAUGAUGUUAGUUCGG
rnacentral:lncRNA from 1 species